rnacentral:lncRNA from 1 species
UUAGUCUCUGUGGGAACGAUACUCUACUUAUCACUCUAUUACUUGUUGAUCACGUAUACUUGCGUGUUGUGGGUAUAUAGAUUUUACCCAACAAUAUUCCUUACCUAAACCUCUACGUUUAACCAUUUCGAUUCAACUUUUGUAGAACAAACUAGCCUAAUCCUAUCCAAAACCCUUUCAAGCUUUUCUCCCGGUCUCUCGCCAUCCGUCUUUCUCUCUUUUCUUCUUUCUAUCUACUGAUUGCAUUCUCUCUCACCCUUCUCUCCAUCACAUGCUAAUAUAAGGACUAAAGUUUCUACUCUUGAUGAUCUACCAUAUCUACAAUACUUUCCACAUAUUAGAU